rnacentral:rRNA from 1 species
AUCAAUUCCGGUUGAUCCUGCCGUCGGUUACCGCUAUUGGAAUCCGCUUAAGACAUGCGAGUCGAGAGGGUUUAGACCCUCGGCAUACUGCUCAGUAACACACGGAUAAUCUACCCUAAGGUGGGGCAUAAUCUCGGGAAACUGAGAACAAUUCCCCAUAGGCCAUGGAUGCUGGAAUGCUUCAUGGUCCAAAGCUCCGGCGCCUUAGGAUGAGUCUGCGGCCUAUCAGGUUGUAGUGGGUGUAACGGACCCACUAGCCAGUGACGGGUACGGGCGUUGGGAGACGUCGCCCGGAGUUGGAUUCUGAGACACGAAUCCAGGCCCUACGGGGCGCAGCAGUCGCGAAAACUUGUCAAUGAGGGAAACCUCGAACAGGGGACUCCAAGUGCAUGCGUUUUACGUAUGCUUUUUGGCUGCCUAAAAAGCAGUCAGAAUAAGGGCUGGGUAAGACAGGUGCCAGCCGCCGCGGUAAUACCUGCAGCCCAAGUGGUAAUCGUUAUUAUUGAGCCUAAAGCGUCCGUAGCCGGUCCGGUAAACCCUCGGGUAAAUCGAGCAGCUCAACUGUUCGAAUUCCGGGGGGACUGCCAGACUUGGAACCGGGAGAGGUCAGAGGUACUCCAGGGGUAGGGGCUAAAUCCUGUAAUCCUUGGAGGACCACCAGUGGCGAAGGCGUCUGACUAGAACGGAUUCGACGGUAAGGGACGAAACCCUGGGGCGCAAACCGGAUUAGAUACCCGGGUAGUCCAGGGCGUAAACGCUGCAGGCUUGGUGUUGGGGACCCUACGAGGGUGCUCAGUGCCGGAGUGAAGAUGUUAAGCCUGCCGCUUGGGGAGUACGUCCGCAAGGAUGAAACUUAAAGGAAUUGGCGGGAGAGCACAGCAACGGGAGGAGCGUGCGGUUCAAUUGGAUUCAACGCCGGAAAACUCACCGGGAGCGACGAUUACAUGAAGGUCAAGCCGAUGACUUUACCUGAUUUUUCGAGAGGUGGUGCAUGGCCGUCGUCAGUUCGUACCGUAAGGCGUUCUGUUAAGUCAGAUAACGAACGAGACCCUCACCCUUAAUUGCCAACCCAUUCUCCGGAGUGGGCGCACAUUAAGGGGACCGCUGGCGCUAAGUCAGAGGAAGGAGAGGUCAACGGUAGGUCAGUAUGCCCCGAAUCUCCCGGGCUACACGCGCGCUACAAAGGAUAGGACAAUGGGAUGCGAUACCGAAAGGUAAAGCGAACCCCGAAACCUAUUCGUAGUUCGAAUUGAGGGCUGUAACUCGCCCUCAUGAAGCUGGAUUCCGUAGUAAUCGCGGGUCAACAUCCCGCGGUGAAUAUGCCCCUGCUCUUUGCACACACCGCCCGUCAAACCACCCGAGUUGGGUCUGAGUGAAGGUGCUCUUUUUGGAGCGCUUGAACUUGGGUUCAGCAAGGAGGGUUAAGUCGUAACAAGGUAUCUGUAGGGGAACCUGCAGAUGGAUCACCUCCUA